AUUUAAGUAUGUGACAACCUUGUUUUCCUUCUUUCAUCUUUCAAAAAAAAUUGUUUUUUGUUAGGAAAUGUCAGUGGUGAAUUUGAAUUCUACAUGCCUUUGAACAAGGCUACUGAAAUGACAAAGAAGAAGAAAAAGCGUGCAGUGUGGGACAGUGUAUACAAAGUGAUUUCCAUGAGGCUGAAUGAAAAUGAAAAAAUCAGAGACAGAAUGAGCUUCAAACAGGCUUGUGCUGAAAGAGAAAAGGUUGGCCUUAUAUAAUCAACAUAUAUAACCC
rnacentral:lncRNA from 1 species